GAAGAGUAAGGAAAAUAUAACACAUGUAUAGAAAAAGAAAAGUAGAAGGACAGUACAUGCGUAGUAAAGAAGCCAUACGAACAUAACACAGACAAACAUACAUAAAGAAAAAAUCAGAUAGAAUCAAAAAGAUCUUUUGAAAACUUUUCCAAAAACGAUUUUGAAAAGACAAUUUGGGGAAAACACUUUAGGAGCCCAGUAGAACACAAACAUGCCACAGAUCUAAGAAAAUAAACAGAGAAGACCCUCGAAGAGCUUAGGGUUUCAGAGAAACCCUAGAAAUGAGAAAGGCUUGGAAGAAAAAUCAGAUCCUGGGUCGAAAAGGUCAGGAAUCGGGCUCCUAAUGCUUGAGUAUGCCGGAGCAUGGCCGGAGAGGCCAUAGAACUACGAUCUGAGAAGAUAUGAAAAGAGAACCAUCGAAGUCAGCCUUCAAAACCUCGAAUACCAAGAUCUAAUGAUGGAGAGGGGUAAGUACAUACCAUCCAUGGCCUGGGAAGCCAUGGAUUCCGGUGAAAAUAUGGUGAAAUAAGGUAUGAGGAGGCUAGUGUUUCGAAGAGCUGUUAAGAGGAUUUGAGAGAGUUUGGGAUUCAAA
rnacentral:lncRNA from 1 species